GAUGAACGCUGGCGGCGUGCCUAAUACAUGCAAGUCGAGCGAACAGACGAGGAGCUUGCUCCUCUGACGUUAGCGGCGGACGGGUGAGUAACACGUGGAUAACCUACCUAUAAGACUGGGAUAACUUCGGGAAACCGGAGCUAAUACCGGAUAAUAUAUUGAACCGCAUGGUUCAAUAGUGAAAGACGGUUUUGCUGUCACUUAUAGAUGGAUCCGCGCGGCAUUACCUAGUUGUUAAGGUAACGGCUUACCAAGGCAAGGAUGAGUAGCCGACCUGAGGGGGUGACCGGCAACACUGGAACGGAGACACGGUCCAGACCCCUAGGGGAGGCAGCAGUAGGGAAUCUUCGGCAAUGGGCGAAAGCCUGACGGAGCAACGCCGCGUGAGUGAUGAAGGUCUUCGGAUCGUAAAACUCUGUUAUUAGGGAAGAACAAAUGUGUAAGUAACUAUGCACGUCUUGACGGUACCUAAUCAGAAAGCCACGGCUAACUACGUG
rnacentral:rRNA from 1 species